UACGUAGGGGGCCAGCGUUGUCCGGAUUUACUGGGCGUAAAGAGCGCGCAGGCGGUCGUUCAAGUCGAGUGUGAAAGCCCCCGGCUCAACUGGGGAGGGUCAUUCGAUACUGAUCGACUGGAAGGCAGGAGAGGGAAGCGGAAUUCCCGGUGUAGUGGUGAAAUGCGUAGAUAUCGGGAGGAACACCAGUGGCGAAGGCGGCUUCCUGGCCUGUUCUUGACGCUGAGGCGCGAAAGCUAGGGGAGCAAACGGG
rnacentral:rRNA from 1 species